AGAAUCAACGCUGGCGGCGUGCCUAACACAUGCAAGUCGAACGAGAAAGUGGAGCAAUCCAUGAGUAAAGUGGCGCACGGGUGAGUAACACGUGACUAACCUACCCUUGAGUGGGGAAUAACUUCGGGAAACCGAGGCUAAUACCGCAUAACACCUACGGGUCAAAGGAGCAAUUCGCUUUGGGAGGGGUCGCGGCCGAUUAGUUAGUUGGCGGGGUAAUGGCCCACCAAGACGAUGAUCGGUA
rnacentral:rRNA from 1 species